rnacentral:rRNA from 1 species
UACGUAGGGUGCAAGCGUUGUCCGGAAUUAUUGGGCGUAAAGAGCUCGUAGGCGGUCUGUCGCGUCGAUCGUGAAAACUUGGGGCUUAACCCUGAGCUUGCGGUCGAUACGGGCAUGACUUGAGUUCGGCAGGGGAGACUGGAAUUCCUGGUGUAGCGGUGAAAUGCGCAGAUAUCAGGAGGAACACCGGUGGCGAAGGCGGGUCUCUGGGCCGAUACUGACGCUGAGGAGCGAAAGCGUGGGGAGCGAACAGG